AGAGUUUGAUCAUGGCUCAGAUUGAACGCUGGCGGCAGGCCUAACACAUGCAAGUCGAGCGGUAGCACAGAGAGCUUGCUCUCGGGUGACGAGCGGCGGACGGGUGAGUAAUGUCUGGGAAACUGCCUGAUGGAGGGGGAUAACUACUGGAAACGGUAGCUAAUACCGCAUAAUGUCGCAAGACCAAAGUGGGGGACCUUCGGGCCUCAUGCCAUCAGAUGUGCCCAGAUGGGAUUAGCUAGUAGGUGGGGUAACGGCUCACCUAGGCGACGAUCCCUAGCUGGUCUGGAGAGGAUGACCAGCCACACUGGAACUGAGACACGGUCCAGACUCCUACGGGAGGCAGCAGUGGGGAAUAUUGCACAAUGGGCGCAAGCCUGAUGCAGCCAUGCCGCGUGUGUGAAGAAGGCCUUCGGGUUGUAAAGCACUUUCAGCGGGGAGGAAGGCGGUGAGGUUAAUAACCUCAUCGAUUGACGUUACCCGCAGAAGAAGCACCGGCUAACUCCGUGCCAGCAGCCGCGGUAAUACGGAGGGUGCAAGCGUUAAUCGGAAUUACUGGGCGUAAAGCGCACGCAGGCGGUCUGUCAAGUCGGAUGUGAAAUCCCCGGGCUCAACCUGGGAACUGCAUUCGAAACUGGCAGGCUAGAGUCUUGUAGAGGGGGGUAGAAUUCCAGGUGUAGCGGUGAAAUGCGUAGAGAUCUGGAGGAAUACCGGUGGCGAAGGCGGCCCCCUGGACAAAGACUGACGCUCAGGUGCGAAAGCGUGGGGAGCAAACAGGAUUAGAUACCCUGGUAGUCCACGCCGUAAACGAUGUCGAUUUGGAGGUUGUGCCCUUGAGGCGUGGCUUCCGGAGCUAACGCGUUAAAUCGACCGCCUGGGGAGUACGGCCGCAAGGUUAAAACUCAAAUGAAUUGACGGGGGCCCGCACAAGCGGUGGAGCAUGUGGUUUAAUUCGAUGCAACGCGAAGAACCUUACCUGGUCUUGACAUCCACAGAACUUUCCAGAGAUGGAUUGGUGCCUUCGGGAACUGUGAGACAGGUGCUGCAUGGCUGUCGUCAGCUCGUGUUGUGAAAUGUUGGGUUAAGUCCCGCAACGAGCGCAACCCUUAUCCUUUGUUGCCAGCGGUUCGGCCGGGAACUCAAAGGAGACUGCCAGUGAUAAACUGGAGGAAGGUGGGGAUGACGUCAAGUCAUCAUGGCCCUUACGACCAGGGCUACACACGUGCUACAAUGGCAUAUACAAAGAGAAGCGACCUCGCGAGAGCAAGCGGACCUCAUAAAGUAUGUCGUAGUCCGGAUUGGAGUCUGCAACUCGACUCCAUGAAGUCGGAAUCGCUAGUAAUCGUAGAUCAGAAUGCUACGGUGAAUACGUUCCCGGCCUUGUACACACCGCCCGUCACACCAUGGGAGUGGGUUGCAAAAGAAGUAGGUAGCUUAACCUUCGGGAGGGCGCUUACCACUUUGUGAUUCAUGACUGGGGUGAAGUCGUAACAAGGUAACCGUAGGGGAACCUGCGGUUGGAUCACCU
rnacentral:rRNA from 1 species